UACAGAGGUCUCAAGCGUUGUUCGGAUUCAUUGGGCGUAAAGGGUGCGUAGGCGGCGCGGUAAGUCGGGUGUGAAAUCUUGGAGCUUAACUCCGAAACUGCAUUCGAUACUGCCGUGCUUGAGGACUGGAGAGGAGACUGGAAUUUACGGUGUAGCAGUGAAAUGCGUAGAUAUCGUAAGGAAGACCAGUGGCGAAGGCGGAUCUCUGGACAGUUACUGACACUGA
rnacentral:rRNA from 1 species